rnacentral:rRNA from 1 species
GACGAACGCUGGCGGCGUGCCUAACACAUGCAAGUCGAACGGAACCGGGGGCAACUCCGGUUCAGUGGCGGACGGGUGCGUAACACGUGAGGAACAUGACCUUCGGCGGGGGAGUAGCCGGCCCGAACCGGCCGGGUAAGUACCGCGUACGACCUUUCGGGGUACGAUCCUCGGAGUGGUGAAAGACAGCAAUGCGCCGAUGGAGUGCCUCGCGGCCUAUCAGCUAGUUGGUGGGGUAACGGCCCACCAAGGCAACGACGGUAGCUGUCUGAGAGGAUGGCCAGCCACAUUGGGACUGAGACACGGCCCAGACUCCUACGGGAGGCAGCAGUGGGGAAGUAUUGCGGCAAUGGGCGAAAGCCUGACGCAGCGACGCCGCGU